rnacentral:rRNA from 1 species
GAGGAAUAUUGGUCAAUGGGCGAGAGCCUGAACCAGCCAAGUCGCGUGAAGGAAGACUGCCUUAUGGGUUGUAAACUUCUUUUAUACAGGAAUAAAAAGCCUUACUUUUGGGCCAUUCCAGGAACGUUAUGAUUAGGAAUCGCUUACUUCGGUGCCAGCAGCCGCGGUAAUACGGAGGAUGCGAGCGUUAUCCGGAUUUAUUGGGUUUAAAGGGUGCGCAGGCGGGCUUUUAAGUCAGCGGUGAAAUCUGGACGCUUAACGUCCAAACUGCCGUUGAAACUGGGAGUCUUGAGUAUGGAUGAAGUAGGCGGAAUUCGUUGUGUAGCGGUGACAUGCAUAGAUAUAACGAGGAACUCCGAUUGCGUAGGCAGCUUACUAAGCCAUAACUGACGCUCAUGCACGAAAGCGUGGGGAUCAAACA